UGGGGGAAUAUUGCACAAUGGGGGGAAACCCUGAUGCAGCGACGCCGCGUGAGCGAAGAAGUAUUUCGGUAUGUAAAGCUCUAUCAGCAGGGAAGAUAAUGACGGUACCUGACUAAGAAGCCCCGGCUAACUACGUGCC
rnacentral:rRNA from 1 species